rfam:Schistosoma rodhaini strain Burundi genome assembly, scaffold: SROB_scaffold0010500
AUCCAGUUGAUGAGUCUUAAAUAGGACGAAACGUGCGUCAAAUUGGAU